rnacentral:rRNA from 1 species
UACCAGCACCCCGAGUGGUCGGGACGAUUAUUGGGCCUAAAGCAUCCGUAGCCGGUCCUACAAGUCUUCCGUUAAAUCCACCUGCUUAACAGAUGGGCUGCGGAAGAUACUAUAGGGCUAGGAGGCGGGAGAGGCAAGCGGUACUCAGUGGGUAGGGGUAAAAUCCUCUGAUCCAUUGAAGACCACCAGUGGCGAAGGCGGCUUGCCAAUACGCGCUCGACGGUGAGGGAUGAAAGCUGGGGGAGCAAACCGG